AAUCUAUCUUACUGUGUUAUUAAUCACCAAUAUAGAACAUAAAUUUGUGAAGCAAUUAAGGCAGAUUUGUAGCAAGUUCAACAAGAAAGCUACUUUUUUAAACCUAUAGUCUAAUAUUUUUAAUAUCAAUGGAGAAUAACCAUUAACAUUUUUCUUAAAUGCGCCUUUUAGGAAGCAUGGUACACACCUGGGAAAGGUAUACACUCCGCCACUGGUUGGCUGGAAGAAAGGCUAAGAAAUGUACGAAAACGCAGCAAUGAACACAACCCAAUUAGACAACCAAAAAUCUCUACACCUUCAAAUCUAAUAAGUUCAAUAACAGCAUUGCCAGAAUCCACUACAACCGAAAAUGAGCACUUAGGAAUGAAAGAGUGGCUGAAACAACAUACUGAACCAGUCUCAACUGUAAAUGCAUACAUGAAGAGGACUGUUCUUAAUCGAGCUAAGUGGAUUAGGGAGAACUCAGAAUUACCUAUACGUGGCAUUAUACUCGAAUAUCCCAGACUGUUUGACACGCCAGGCAUGGUUGAAAUGGAUUUCAAAUGUCUCUAUCCAGAUGUGGCAG